rnacentral:rRNA from 1 species
CCGGCGCACGGGUGAGUAACACGUAUCCAACCUGCCGUCUACUCUUGGACAGCCUUCUGAAAGGAAGAUUAAUACAAGAUGGCAUCAUGAGUCCACAUGUUCACAUGGUUAAAGGUAUUCCGGUAGACGAUGGGGAUGCGUUCCAUUAGAUAGUAGGCGGGGUAACGGCCCACCUAGUCUUCGAUGGAUAGGGGUUCUGAGAGGAAGGUCCCCCACAUUGGAACUGAGACACGGUCCAA